GGGCGCGAGGCGAGCGCGGCGGCCGGGCCGCGCGGGGCCGACAUGGGAGGACUGGAUUUGAAGGCCGCGGUGCUCUCCUGGUCGGUCCAGGAGGUCACCGACGACGACUCCUACAGGGGCAAGCAUUCUUUCAGCAGAGUUUGUGCGGGUUGUUGUUCCUGAUGGAAAAGCUGUAGAUGCAAUGGUUCCAUAAACUGUGAAAAGGACUUCCACUCCCCUCAAUGGGACGGAACAUGAGAUACGUGCACUUCCAAUUUUGCAGUUUACUGUUUACCUGGUUGUAACAAAAUGCAUUCACGCUAAGUUUUUUUUUUGUACUUUUCAUGCUAACUUAAAAAAAAACAGUAGUUAACCAAAAUUGAUUGAACAUGAGGAAUGAAGUGAGAUUGAGAAAUCUAAAGGCUAAGAACUGGUAGGGAGUGAUUAGUUAGUAGUACCUGCACUCAUUGGCUUCGUAAAUUAAUUCAAUGCCAAGAAGGCAUGGGCCAUGCUAUUUUGAUUUCUUUGUAGCGUCAUCACAUUACAAUAUUAUUUCUGUCCUUGUAUCAUUGUUUUUGGAAUUUUAUGUAUUGUGGUAUCGUCACGUCCAUAUGAUGUACCCAGGCAACGUAGUUUCUUGACGAGUAAACUAUAAGUUACCGGAAUUUUGUGUUUGAUGUAUGUCCAGUGUCAACAUAGGAUUCUUAUGUCACAAAAAUGUGUUUCUGAAAUAAUUACCAGAUUUUGAUCGUAAACUUUGUUACUACACCACUUAUCAUAUAUACCAUGAUUACUAUGGUCAUUUCCAAUCAGUUUUUGAUCUCCAAUUUGCCAAAAGGUGAAAUUCUAAUUUGUUGUUAACAAUGGUCUGAUGUGUUUCAUCUUGCUACUUUUGUUUAGAUUAUGGCUUUGUUUUAAGCUACACUGUCGUGGUUCUAGUAAAAUAUUAUCAGCUCCUUUUCUUCUGUUGAUUGGUGUUCAUUAUCUCAAUGCAGGUAAACAUAGAUGAGGGGGAAAGCUUCAUCCUCUGUCUUCUCCCCCUCACUAUUUGCCUGCUGAGAACGCUGGAGGGCAUUCUUUACCAAAUAAGCUGCGUAGUCUAUCAUCUGAAGGGUUUGUUCAACUGUUAUCGGCUAUUUUUAGGAUAGUUCUGGUACAUCUGCUGCAAGCAGCUGAAGUUAAAAAAAUAGUUCAGUGGAUCACGAGAAACCUUGAUGGGAACAUGAGUUCUGAUGACACAAAUCCUGUCAUACAACAUGGUGGAUCAGUUGACUUUUCCCAAGGGAAUGACAACGGUGUUACUUCACGGGUCUCCAAUACUGUUACAUGCAGUACUACUAAGCUUCCAUUGUUUUAAGGAAAAGCAACUGAUAUGUCCAGUACAAAUUCAAUAAAAAAAUGCUCGAGCUGAUAUGUUGAGAGAAAGCACAGAAGCAGUUUUUGCUGCAUGUGAUGCUGCACAUCGACAAUGGGCUAAGCUGAUAGGUGUUCGUGCUGCUCUACAUCCCAAGUUGAGGAUUACGGAGUUCCUGAUCAUCCAUAAUACACCCUCUGUUUCUAAAUUAAGAUGUCCCGCUGGUUCCAUUUAAUCUGUCAAAACGCCUUAUAUUUAGGAACGGAAGUAGUAUAAAAGAAGAAUCUAUAGCUGGUACAGAAAAGGUUAUUAAUUUUCUGUUUAAAUAAUAUGCACAGACACAUAUUAGUUUCAUAAAAGCAAGUUAUGAUAUUAUCUUAACCUCUUGUCCUCAUAGAUUGGAGGCAGGUUAGGUUACAACAUUCGUGGACUAUCAGCAUAGUGUUCAGGUGGUUAUAUAUUGUUUUAUUGAAGUUUAUGAAAGUUUAAUCUACAGUCUUACAAUCGGAUCAUGGAACAAAGUUAGAAGCUUGUUUUAAAUUUUGUUAUUACAAGCAGCAGCUUAUAGAAUAAGUGCAGCAUCAUUUUGCCAGAAACAUGAAUGAGUAAUGAUGCUAUUUCUGGAGUAUAAAGCCCUCAGGCUUCUCCCUCAAUUAUAUAGCCUUAUGGAUGUACACCAACUUCAUUACAGUGCAGUUACUUUCUUCUGUUUUGCAAGCAAUAUUACCCAGACAGUAGUGCUAUCCACCAUCAAUCAAAGAACUUGAGGAUGAAAUGAUAGUGGAAUUAAGGAUAUAAAGGGUUAGGAAGUCUCUGAUCGUCAUAAUUACUUGAAUCAUCUUCAAAAAGUUUUAUGUUAGGGUUUGUUAAAUCGAAUUCUGAUAUUGAUUUUAGAGAUAUCAAUCUUAUUUUGUAGCUGAAUCCCGAUUUAUACAGUUUUUGUGCUCUUAACAUUUAAUAUUCCUUUGAAGAUGACAAAAACUAUGGCAGUUCUUGACCAAGAGACGUGGGUUGCUGUUGACAUUCCUGAAGAAUUCCAAGUGAUUGUUUUGUCACUGCCAUCAACUGAGGUUCUUGUUAAUGAUGUUGAGAUGCCUAGCACUGGUAACAACUCAAAGCUCAGUGAGGAUGGAGUUUUUACAAGUCAAGAGUCGCAUAUUCAACUGAAAGUAAUGUUGAAAAUAACAGUGGAACAUCUAUGAGGUAUUUGUACCAUGUGCCUCUGAUUGAAGACAUGGUCAGAUCUAUGGUCAUGCCUUGAACUCAUCAGUGAAGCACCCUUGCUCAUGCCUUGAACUCAUCAGUGAAGCACCCUUUUUGAAAAUACUUUCCAUGGAGAUAACAGGAAAAUCGGGAUCAUACUUUAUGGAUGUGGAUUUUUGGGGCAAUGAUGAUGUUUUUCCACUGGGCUUAUUCUGCGAGGAAUGAUGACAUAUUUGUUUUGUCUAGCAUAAAACCUGAAGCUGCAGAGGACUUAAACCGCCAUGGUGUGACAUAUUAUUGUUUGGCAAUAGUCACUGAGGUUUCUAUGGUUGAUGAAUACCAGAAUGGCUUCAUAGUCAAAGUUGCAAAGAAUAUUGGUCUGGACGAAGACUUAAACAAACUCGAACAUGCAAUAUUUCUCAAUAUCACAAUAAACGUACGGAUAUGGAAAGCACUUACCUGCAAAACACACAUGAAUGACAAUUUCACACUAAUCAAGUCCCUCUUAGCCCCCACAAAUCUGGGUGAGGAUGUUUGUGGUAUCUGUGUUAAACAGGAUGGAGUCUGUUUGGCUUCUUUCGCAGAGACAUCCGGAAAUUAUUGGGCGAGGAUGCUAUUGAAUCUGUCAUCUCAGCUGUAAGAUGUGGGCGUGUGAAGUGUAUAUGGGGUCCACCAGGAACUGGAUGGAGCUAGGUCUACAUGCCUUAAAUUGGAACUGGAUGGAGCAAGGUCUACAUGCCUUAAAUUGCUUAAAGAUCUGCUACACUCGCUUAAUUACCCAUUGGAGUAAACAGAAACUGGGUCCAGAGCAUACGUAUGCAAAGAAGCUGGAUUCGUGACAAGUUUAUUUGAGAGAUUGGUUAUGCUCAAAUUUGAUAAACAUUUUUUGAAUAUACAGUAUCACAUGAAUCCUUCUAUCAGCUUAUUUCCAAGUGCUAUGAGAGGAAGAUUUUAGAUGGUUCCAUUGUCAUGUCUCCUAGUUGUGAUAAGGAUUACACAUGCCUCCCUUUUGUCAGCUACACGUUUCUAAAUGUCACUGAUGGAAGAGAAGACAAAGAGGGCAUAGGAAGCAGUCGCAGAAACAUGGUUGAAGUUGCUGUUGUUUGCAACUAAUCCAUUCCAUCUUUAAAUGUUGGAUAAGGACAGACCUAAGGGCUCAGCAUAGUCCGCGGUCUCUCCAUAUAUUGCUCAAGUUGAUGUAAUUAAAAGUUGACCUGCCAAAAAAUAUGACACAUAUGAUGGCUUUCAUGUGCGGGUGAAGUCCAUUGAUGAUUUCCAAGGAGAAGAUGAUACAUCAAUACUAUCAACUGUUAAGAGAGGAGUUGUAGGAUUUCUUGCUGAUAACCAAAGAACAAAUGUUGCUCUUACUAGAGCAAGGCGUGCAUCAAUUUAUUCGGGACCCCUUGUUUUAUUGCUGCUCAAAGUAUGUCUGACCGAUUCUACAAAUUAUCAGAGAGAUGUAAAUGUGUUUUCAGUGCCACUAAUGAUGCAACCAUCUGUAAGUUGGUUCUGCAAGUAAAGCAAGAGCUUGAUGAACUUGACGAUCUUCUUAAUGCUGAUUCAGUGGGUUUCAGCCAUACCAGAUGGAAGUUAUUCAGUGAGGGACAAUUCGAGAUGGCUACCAUGUGCUUCAAGAAGGCUGGUGAUGCACACAGAGAAGUGCACAAGAGCUGCCGGACUUCUAGCCACUGCUGACCGUGUCAUCUCAACAAAUUUGGAGCUGAGCAAGGCUUCAUUGCAAACAACAUCAGAGAUUGACAGAGUCCAUGAAAGCUGCUAAUUGCUAUAUCAAAUUAGGUGACUACAAAAGAGCAGGUAUGGUCUAUAUGCAAAAAUGUGGUACUUCCAGUUCUAGACUUGAGGAUGCUGAUGAUUAUUUUGCUAUCGCUGAAUGCUGGUCGGAGGCAGCGGAAGUGUUCUUCAAAGCUAAAUGUUACACCAAGUGUUUCUCCAUGUGCUCGAAAGGAAAACAAUUAUGCAAUCUGGAGGAGGAACAUUCGCUUCAGAAUUCAAAAUCCUUGAGGUUUCUGCAAUUAGAACAAACUAUCUGGAUAAUUAUGCUCAAGAUUAUUUUGAGCGUGUCGUCAUAAAGCAUAGGAUGGCUUUUGUUAAAGCUUUCAGCUCUAUGGAUCAUGUACGGAAAUUCCUAAAUUCUACGAAUCUUGUUGAUGACUGUCGAGUUUAGAGAUGGAAAUGUGUAAUUUCCUAGAAGCUGCAGGGAUAGCAAAGCAUAAAGGAGCUGUCUUACUGGAGGUAGACAUGCUCGAGAAGGCAGAUUUGUUUGAGGAUGCAACAGGGCGUCUCCAUAUCAUUGUGGAUUCUCUGUGGUCUUCAAAUGGUAGAGGUUGGCCUCCCAAAAGAUAUGCAGAAAAGUGACAGUUGCUUGCAAAAGCCAAAGAGAUGGCGAAAAAGGUCUCUGAGUUUCUACUGUUUUGUUUUGCGUGGAAGCUGAUGCACUGUCAGAUGUGAAUAAGUCUCUACUCAGUUUAAAUCGCACAUUGGUUGAGGGCAGAAAUGUCCAAACUAUUGGUUGAACUUGUUGCUUCUGGUUUGAUUCUUGAUGUUCAUCUUCAGUCUCGAGCCUCUGGAUACAAUAUAGAAUUAGGGCCAGGAUCUGAAUAUGAAAACAGUAGUAAAGAUAUGCUGGCCUCUAACCAGAUGUCACCCCAAACUCUGUUUUAUGUUUGGAAUCACUGGAAGUCGAUCAUAAUCAAAGUACUGUCUCAUCUUCGCCACACCGAUGGUCCAGAAUUAAAUGAUUAUGCAGUUAUGUAUGAAGAUCUUUGCGCCAAGUACUUUGGAUUGAGAAAAGAUGGUGAAGUUGACAGAUAUGUGGUGCUUAACAUCAAUUCAAGUUGGCUUUCUAUUGCUGGCAGAAAUUCUUUGCAGCAAGACGGCAACAGAUGUUUAUUGGGUGUCCCUCAGUGUCAUUCAUGUGCUCAGUGUUUCUGGAUGAAUGAGCUGUCUUCUGUUGGUUUCAGUGUACUUAAGAAGUUGGAGUCCGCUGUCGAAAUUUCUCUGAAGCCUGCAUCUUCAUAUACACUGGUGAGAACUAUCCUUAUCAUAAAUGAGAUAGCAAAGUUCUUCGAAAACCCACAGUUCAGUAUUCCAAAAAGUUCUAAGAAGUUCAGAAGCUUUUUUUAUUCUCUGUGAGUGUCGCUUCUUUGAGUUAGUUUUCCUUGUGUGGAGAGACGGGACAAUGGGGAGCCUCUUGUGUCUACUUGACUCACCAGCUGCAUAUGAAUUGAUUGCUGAUUCUCUUAGUGCAAAUCUUUGCCCGGUAAAUAAAAAUUUAACUCAUGGGCAUCUUGGGAGAACAACCAUGCUUGUGCUUCAUGCAGCACACUUGGGCGAAGCACAACUUUCAUGACUACUACAGUACCUGGACAAUAGUUCUGAGUAGGCAGAUUUUUUCCGAUAUUUGCAGUGAUUUCUUGACAGUGGUUGUGAUAGAUCCUCGUUUAUCUUCAACUUUAAGCUUGCUCGUGAUUUUACCCUCAAUGUAAAGUGGAAGGAUGAGCUAGACUACAUAUCCCCAACAUGCUAUGUGGGUCUUCUGGAGUGCCUUGGUUUCAUGGCUUUUCGUACUUGAUACAGAAUGAUUUUAUAUGCUGCACGAAAUCUCUGUUGGUCAAUAUACUGGAGUGCCGUACCAGCAAGGUUUACAUUUACACCUACCUGGUAUGUAAAUCGAGACCAGAUUCUGAUCUUAAUCGUUUGGCACACCCAUCAGGCCGUUUCAUAUAUCAGAUGAUUAUGACUAUCUUGCCGACCAAGCAUAUGCUCCAGGAAUGGACACACAAGACUUCAGGUCCUAGCACUUGAUACAGACCAGUCCUCCUGAGACCAGUUGUUGCACUUUAUCCUCUGAUCCUUACUCUUUCCCUGGGGAAUUGCUAUGAGGUCACACAUAACCUUCGGAGGAAUGAAGUCUUUAAGGAUCUACCUUUGGAGUUCUCUCAGAAGAUUGAACAUGCUUUGAAAAUGAGGUUUUGGCUUCUUGCACAUCAAGCAACUUCACAAGAGUGCUUGCUGAUGCACUCGCCGCAAUCGGAGAUCCUAUGGUUGUUAUUGGCCCCACCAAAGGCCCAGUACUCUGUCCGAACUUAAAUGCUUAUAUGAUUAGCAAGGUGGAUUCGUUGUACGGUGUUCUGAAGAUAAUGGCUCUUCUGCGCCCUGAAGAACCAAGUUCUCUAAAGGAAGAGACUCCAUUGCCAGAAAAAUCUGAUAGUUCCCCUAAUGUUAUUUGUGGGAAAAUUCCUUAUGCUGUACAAGAUAGCAAGACAGUGAGUACGAUAGAGAUAGAUUUAACUAAUGAUAGUGCUAUCUGGAAGAAGUUUGAGACUUUUGUACUCAAGAAGCAGGGCCAGAAAGAUGCAUGGGUUGUUAUUCAAUUUCUUAGAGACGCCCUUGCAUGGAAACAGGCCUUCUAGCUGCAAUUGAUGCAGCGACUAAUACACAAACGGUUGAAGAGAUCAGGCACAUCUGCAGUGAGUUCAAAAAACUUUCUGCCAGGUAAGUAAAUGUUAAUUUGGGGCCAACUAUGUUUCUCAAUGGCAGGCAGUACAGAACUACAGAUGCCGUAUUGCAAUUGAUAGGGCUGAGAAAAAAAGCUCGUCUUGCUGUGAAGGAUCUAUACUCAAAGUGGCAAUGUGGUGAGAAGAAACUGCAGCUGGUCCUGCGCUUUCUGGCUGCUGCAAGGUUAUGCAUGGAUGAAAUUUUUUCGAGAGAAAUGUUAAUGAUCGAGAGCAAAAAUGCUGCAGCAGCUGUCCAGCCGCACACCAACGCCAAAGGAUGUUCAGAUGACUAACCUGACCGCACGGGAGAAGCUGCCUCGGCUUUGGCAAAGGCGGCACGGAAGCAGAAGAGCAGCAAGAAGAAAUCCAAGGGCUGUGGCAACAGUUGAGCUGCUGUUGCUGCAGUGCGUGAGCGGUGUAGUUUCUCACCUGCAAAACAUUUGCCUGCAUUGGAGAAACUUGUAGGAGUAUAUCCCAUCACUUGAUCACUGUAAACCCAAACAGAUAGCAGGUGCUAAUUUUUGCUUCGAUGCACUGAUGCAUAUGUCGUUGCCCUGCUGCUACUAGCCGAGCCUGGGCUUUAUGCAAUGGCACGCCCUUUUAGUCGCCUGAAGGAGAGGGAGAUCAGACCAUGGAUUGGUUCUGAGUUUAGUGGCCGUUGUCUGAGUGUUUGUGAAGGAAUGUAAUAAUGAAAAGAUGAGACUAUGUGGCUAGCUAGAGUCGUAAAUGUUUUUCACAUUUCUCUUUUGAACGACGACAAGAAAUGUGUUGCUUUGCAUCUGAUCAAUGAACUCAGGAUUUUCUUUUUCUUUUUGCGAACAAUGAACUCAGGAUUUGAUGGCUGGAAGGUUGGUGGUGUCUCAGCUUUGGUUGCUUCAUUUGAACCUCAGUUGACAUGAAUCACACUUCAGAAAUCAUAUGGCAUCCAGGAUGCACCUUCUGCAAGUGAGGCUGAAUCGGUGGACACAGAACAAAUAAACCACAUUGGACAACCGAAGAGGUGUUUGAACGAAUUGAUGGUCUGGAAGAAUUUGGAGCUAGACGUUGGUCUGAGAUAAUAAAGAAAUAUUUUUCAGCGUCAGUUUGAACUGCGGUCAAUCUUAAGGUUUAUGUUUGGUGCAUUUGUCUCAUGUUGAUGUUACCUUGUCUCGCCGACAUCAAAUUAUUUGCCCUAGGUCCGCUACUAGUACAAUCUAGCGGUGCCUGGAAACAUGAUGUGUGGCUACCUCAUGUUCGCUGAAUAUGUGAGAGUUGUCCCCUAUUUUACUGUA